rnacentral:rRNA from 1 species
GUAGGUGGCAAGCGUUGUCCGGAAUUAUUGGGCGUAAAGCGCGCGCAGGGCGGUCCUUUAAGUCUGAUGUGAAAAGGCCCACGGCUCAAACCGGUGGAGGGUCAUUGGAAACUGGGGGACUUGAGUACAGAAAGAGGAAAAGCGGAAUUCCAAGUGUAGCGGUGAAAUGCGUAGAGAUUUGGAGGAACACCAGUGGCGAAGGCGGCUUUCUGGUCUGUAACUGACGCUGAGGCGCGAAAGCGUGGGGAGCAAACAGGAUUAGAUACCCUGGUAGUCCACGCCGUAAACGAUGAGUGCUAAGUGUUAGGGGGUUUCCGCCCCUUAGUGCUGCAGCUAACGCAUUAAGCACUCCGGCCUGGGGAGUACGGCCGCAAGGCUGA